AGGGGACCGCUGUGAGGUCUGGAGAGGAUGCGCCAUCGACCCCGGCAGUAGGCGGCCGAACCUUGGCCCCAAAUCUUCUACCCCGGGGUGGAUUGCGGCCCCUAGAGGAAAGGCGUCAGGGGACCGACCGGCAGCUGUGCCGUCGCGGCACUCUGGACCACGCUGAGGGCGGGCCGGCUUCCCUGCGCCUGCGCUGACAUUUUGCAGUUUGGGAAAUGGCGGUGCUCGGGGACGUCGAUACUGACCCAGGGCGGGAGGCAGCUGCGAGUGGAUUGUCGGGCCUUUUCAGACCGGGGUCUGAACCUCUGGGCCGGGGCGGGGCUCGGGUGCUGCCUGGCUCUGCCAACGUUCUGGGCCCUCGAGUGUGAAUGAGC
rnacentral:lncRNA from 1 species